CAAUAGCGUAUAUUAAAGUUGUUGCAGUUAAAAGCUCGUAGUUGGAUUUCUGGGAGGGUGACUUUGUCCGCCAAAGCGCGUGUGCAGCGGCGCCCUCUCAUCCUUCUGUUAACGCCUCUUGGCAUUCACUUGCUGGUGGCGGGCUCAGAUAUUUUACCUUGAGAAAAUUAGAGUGUUCAGGCAGGCUAGGCCGGAAUACAUUAGCAUGGAAUAAUGGAAUAGGACUAUGGUCUCUUUGUUGGUUUGAGGGACUGCAGUAAUGAUUAAUAGGGAUAGUUGGGGGCAGUUAGUAUUUAAUUUGUCAGAGGUGGAAUUCUCAGAUUUGUUAAAGACUAACUUAUGCGAAAGCAUUUGCCAAGGAUGUUUUCAUUAAUCAAGAACGAAAGUUAGGGGAUCGAAGACGAUCAGAUAC
rnacentral:rRNA from 1 species